CUUCUCAUUAUCAUCAUUGGUAAUGAACAUGAAUAGUGGACAUUCUCUUACUCUUCAGUGCCCUUUUAUCCCCAAUGUGGCUUGUGCCAUUUAAAGUACAAUGAGGGACUCAGAAGAAGCUAUGGUUGAGCCAAUCGAAUCUUUCUGACCCUUCUUACUUUUGUGGUGACAGUCACGUUAUCAGGAACUCUAGUGAGCACAGUUCUUUGUGGUUCUUCAUGCAGGUUUAGCAGGGCAGAGCAGUGUCAAGCUCCAGGUACGAGAGGAGAAGUCUGAGGAGGACCAUCAGGCUGGGAGACUGCAGGGGACAGAAAGUUAGAGGGACUGUGAGGUAGAAGGUCUUGAGUUCGCUGACGUUACUCUCAAAAUACUUUCAGGGAGAAUGUGGUUUGUUUUCACUGCAUGAAGUCACUUCGGCCUUCUUCCCUGUCUGUGGGCAAGUUCAGGGUAGAAACUACCAGGUACUCUGAGAACUACGCCAUGGACUUCCCUGCUCAGAGAAGAACAAUCUGCUUCUGACGUUUCACUUUGGUUGUAAAGGACUUCAGGGAUUAUCUCAGCCUCUUCAAACCAAAAUUCCUCUGAAAUGCUUAAAUUGGCCCAGAUAGGGUCAGGUCUGGAAUAAUCAGUUCAGCUUAUGCUGAAAUACUUUAUUUCCAUCCUGCCUGCUUCCACAUCCACUUUUCUGAGCAUUAUUUCCUCCAGAACAAUUUAGAGAUCUCUGAGGAGCUGAUUAGAUGAUGAUGAGGUGAGCAUGCUCCCACCACAUGGCCACAAGGAUUGAUAGAGAUCAAGGACUGAGAGGUUUGGCCCCAAGCUUGACUGAGGAUGAUGUCGGGGAUAUUCCCAAGACCCUCUCUCAGACACAGAUGGUCUGACCCUUUAUUGGUCAUAAGGAUGAAGUGGAAGUUAAUGAGACUCUCAGCUUGGAACUCCCUGGAUGUAAGAUUAUAGCAUAUCUGUUUAUCCAAAGAAUUACGUGUGUCAGAGCAGUAGGUCUUCACAAAUUCAUUAGGUUUAUAACAAUCAACCAUAGUUACAGGAGAAAGAUGCUGUGAGCUCCCUUUAUACCCCUGUUCAGUAUCUGUACAAUCUUACCCUCUAAACGUAUUCCUUCUGUCUCACCUUAAUCAUGUAUUGCUUAUCUAUUUCCUCACAACAGUCUACCUCAAAAUUUGUGGCCUACAAUGGCAACCAUGUAAACCAUGUAUUUGCUUAUGCUUCUGUAAUUUGGACCAGGUUCAGCUGGGCAGUUCCUCUGCCAGUCUCACCCGAGGUCAUGUUCACUGCAGUCAGUUGGCAGGUGAAGGUGUGGGGAGUUGGAGAAAGACUCACUGGUCCCAGCCAGCCUCAAUCACAUGUGUUGGGCCUCAGUGGAGAUGACUGGAACUACUGCGAUGAGUAGGACACUCUCUCCAUGUGAUCACUCAUCCUCAAGGAGACCAGUCUGGGUUUUCUUAAGCCUGGGAGUCACAGGGCAUCAAGAAGGUGAAAGCAGACACUCAGGGCUCAAUAUCACUUCUGCCACAUUCCAUUGAUCAAAGCACAUCAUAGUGCCAGCCAAAAUUCAAGGGGCAGAGGAAAUAGACUCUGCCUUUUAUUGGAUGACAAAUUAACAUUGCAAAGAAGCAUGUAUCUAGGAAUGGAAGAAAUUUCUGGGGCCAUCCUCAUAAUAUAUCACAGUCACUAAAGCUGCAUAUUUAUAAAUUAUUCCUUUCACCCUUUAGAAAUGGCCUGUUCCUUAUUGGCAAGGGCAGAUGGAGACUCCAAUUGGGAUGACUCAUUUAAGUGGGGCUAUAGAAUGAACAUUUUUAUGGAAUGUCAACUGUGUGUAAGCAUUGUAUACAUAUAAUCCUAUUUAAUUCUCAAAACAACUUCAUGAUAGGUCUUACCUCCAUUUUAUUACUAAGAAAGCUGAUGUUCAGGGUGAGUUAAUGAAUUACUGAACGUAACUCAGUUGUCAUGGAGGGAGUUGAGGAUUUCUUCACCUGUAAAAUGGGAAUCAUAAUACUUACCACCAGCAUAGUUGGUAGGAUGAAAUUAAGUGCUUUGUGUGGAAGUGGCUGGUAAACCCCAAAGCACUGUACAAAUGUUAAUUUUCAUUUUCAUUGAGCCAAGCAGACAUUUUGAGGGGAGGAGUGUUGUCUAGGAAGGCGCCAGAGUCAUCUGAGCCAGACACCAACUGUUGUGUGUCUCUCAGCUGCUAUUUACUUUGGCUUCAGACCAAAUCCUUCAUGCAAUGCCUUUGGCGGUCACAGACGAGAAAGAGCCCUGUGGGCCAGGCUGGCAAGCCAGGACAUGCUACAGGUGAAGACAGACACGCUUCCAUUGGAAAAAGGAAGAAACUGAAACAAAGCUCUAAGUGCCUUGCUGCUAUCCUCAACUACUCCGGUUGCAAGGAUUUUUAAUAUUUCACUCAAGGUCACAUACACAACCUUGAAUUGCUCUGAACCUACUUUCUCCCAACUCUUCUUUUCACUAAAUCUCAUCCCAAUUCUUUCCAAACCUCAUUCUCUCAUCAUUAUCCCAUCUGCAUCUUCAAUCUAUACACCCAAUGUUUCCUCCCCCUCCUUGUCUUAUUUGGAUUCUGUAAGACCUAAUUCUUACAGGGACCAGGAGGGAGGGUCAGCCUUUUGCAAAGUCAGCCUUCACCAGUCUUCUCUUUGCACAUCUACCAUCUACCUAAACUAAGAUCUCUUCCUCCUUUGAGGUUUAGGCUGCUCAGAUACACCAUGUUCUUUUUGCCUGCCUUGUUGCUGUCAUCUGUUGACCUCCCAUCAGUCACUACCAUCCUUCUUUGGGAGUUCUGGCAUCUCACUCAUAGCCUACCUGCCGUCACCAAGGACAACUUCAACACUCAUUGAACAUCCUGGACUCAGAAUUCCUCAACUUUUACAACCCCAUUAUGCUUCAUCCAAGACAGCUGAAUACCAUCCAUCCACCGGUGAAAAAGGCUGCAUUGCAUUGCAGAUUGACUAGUUCAACUCACAGAAAUUGUUCACAAAAAAUGCCUAAUGCAGGUGACAAAAGAAAAGUCAAAUUUGGAGUCAGGAAAUCUGGUUUUAGAGUCUUAUCUCAACUCCUUACCAAGUGUUGAAAAUUGAAUAGGGUACACCUUCUCUAAACCUGAGUUUUCUCAUACUUAAAAAUGAGGAAUAAUAGUUUCUAUAACACUAGGACAUAGUAAAAACCAAAUGGGAUCUAGAGUGGAAAAAAAUUAUAAACUGUAGGAUACUCAACAAAUAUCACUAUAAACCCUUGAAAGAAAAUGUUUAUGAUUGUAUAAAUUAUAUGAAUCCAAUUUUUUUGUGUUAAGCCAAAAAUGAAAAGAGAACAAAAAUCAUGAAUUCUGGUUCAGAUGAUGGAUUGAAUGCAUUCUUCUAUUUUCACUCCAUCCCAAACUCCUGGAUAUUUUAAAUCAAGAGUGAGAAGAAUGAGAAAAGAGACAAUUAUAGCAAUGUAUUGGAAGCAUGUGGUAAAUAAUAACAAAACAGAGAAAACUACAUCCUUGGGCAGCUUUGGGAAAGCAGAGAGGGAACUGGAUUUAUACUACAAAAUUUCCAAAACAAUCAGCUGCCAGAACACUGGAAGCCAGGCGUUCACCUUACAGGCAGAAGAUUGGACAUACCUUCUCUGGGAAACCUGACUAGCUCAAGAGGAAACAUCUUAAGAUAUUGACAUUGGGAGUUCCAGCCAGAUCACCCUAUAAAGAAACUAUAUUCAACAAGACCCAUCCAUGUUUUGAAGCCUUUAAUCAGUUUUUUAGUGCCUCAAACAUGUAAACAUAAGCAAAGACCAUCAGACAUAUGAGGAAAGCUUCUAAUGUGAGCAAUAGAAAUACUACUGGUUUUUGUAUGUUGAUUUGUUUCUUGUAACUUUACUGCAUUCAUUUAUUCUAACAAGUUUUUGUGUGUGUGUGUGUGACAGUUUUAGGGUUUCCUAGAAAGAAAAUCAUGUCAUCUAUGAGCAGAGACAAUUUAACUUUUUCCUAAUUUGGAUACCUUUUAUUUUUCUUGCCUAAUUGCUUUGGCUAGGA
rnacentral:lncRNA from 1 species